AGAGUUUGAUCCUGGCUCAGGACGAACGCUGGCGGCGUGCAUAAUACAUGCAAGUCGAGCGAAUCAUUAGGAGCUUGCUCUGAUGAUUAGCGGCGGACGGGUGAGUAACACGUGGGCAACCUGCCUGUAAGACUGGGAUAACACCGGGAAACCGGUGCUAAUACCGGAUAAUUCUUUUCCUCUCAUGAGGAAAAGCUGAAAGUCGGUUUCGGCUGACACUUACAGAUGGGCCCGCGGCGCAUUAGCUAGUUGGUGAGGUAACGGCUCACCAAGGCGACGAUGCGUAGCCGACCUGAGAGGGUGAUCGGCCACACUGGGACUGAGACACGGCCCAGACUCCUACGGGAGGCAGCAGUAGGGAAUCUUCCGCAAUGGACGAAAGUCUGACGGAGCAACGCCGCGUGAGUGAUGAAGGCCUUCGGGUCGUAAAACUCUGUUGUUAGGGAAGAACAAGUACCGGAGUAACUGCCGGUACCUUGACGGUACCUAACCAGAAAGCCACGGCUAACUACGUGCCAGCAGCCGCGGUAAUACGUAGGUGGCAAGCGUUGUCCGGAAUUAUUGGGCGUAAAGCGCGCGCAGGCGGUCCUUUAAGUCUGAUGUGAAAGCCCACGGCUCAACCGUGGAGGGUCAUUGGAAACUGGGGGACUUGAGUGCAGAAGAGGAAAGCGGAAUUCCACGUGUAGCGGUGAAAUGCGUAGAGAUGUGGAGGAACACCAGUGGCGAAGGCGGCUUUCUGGUCUGUAACUGACGCUGAGGCGCGAAAGCGUGGGGAGCAAACAGGAUUAGAUACCCUGGUAGUCCACGCCGUAAACGAUGAGUGCUAAGUGUUAGAGGGUUUCCGCCCUUUAGUGCUGCAGCUAACGCAUUAAGCACUCCGCCUGGGGAGUACGGCCGCAAGGCUGAAACUCAAAGGAAUUGACGG
rnacentral:rRNA from 1 species